CCUACGGGCGGCAGCAGUGAGGAAUAUUGGUCAAUGGCCGAGAGGCUGAACCAGCCAAGUCGCGUGAGGGAAGACGGCCCUACGGGUUGUAAACCUCUUUUGUCGGGGAGCAAAGCGAGUCACGUGUGACUCAUUGAGAGUACCCGACGAAAAAGCAUCGGCUAACUCCGUGCCAGCAGCCGCGGUAAUACGGAGGAUGCGAGCGUUAUCCGGAUUUAUUGGGUUGAAAGGGUGCGCAGGCGGAGGUGCAAGUCAGCGGUCAAAUUGCGGGGCUCAACCCCGUACUGCCGUUGAAACUGCAGCCCUUGAGUGCGCGAGAAGUAGGCGGAAUGCGUGGUGUAGCGGUGAAAUGCAUAGAUAUCACGCAGAACUCCGAUUGCGAAGGCAGCAUACCGGCGCGCAACUGACGCUCAUGCACGAAAGCGUGGGUAUCGAACAGGAUUAGAUACCCUAGUAGUC
rnacentral:rRNA from 1 species